UGAAGCUUUCGCCAUCAGCCACUCAACGGGAGAGCGGCUUCACUCCCAAGUAGGCAGAGCUGACUUGGGUCCAGCCCAGAUGGCAUGCCAGUCCAUUUCUUCUUGGAAGGGGGCCUCAAGAAUGCCUGUGAGCAGAAUCGAGAUGCUCUCCAAAAAAAGCAUCUGGAUCUGUUUCAAAGGUGUUGGCGGGCUGCGAAGAGGCCGUCUGCGGCUACAGUCAAGCACAGCGUUCCAGCUACCUUGACCAUCGGAGUAUUCGAGCGCCACUUGUAGGCUAGCCGCCAGUUCUUCCCCGGGUGGCAGCAGGCAGGGCGGACUGAGCAGGCACGCAAAGGCGCUGGGAGAGCUUUGAUGUCAACAGAGAAAGACAGUUCUGCAGGCCAGCCUUCCUCCAUCCUGAAGCUUGACUUUUGGCUCAUGGAGCUUCCUGUCCUGUUCCAGCUGUGACAUGUUGAAAGGAGACUUGAAAACUGUGGACUUCGCUGUACUCUGUGCGCCUUCGCCAUGACUCUGGCCCUCUGGAUGUUAGGAGACCGGGUGGGAGGGGAGAGGGAAUGGAAAUGACCUCGGCUUAGCAGAGAAGGGGGCUUCUAAGGGACCAGUUUCUAGCUUUUGCUGUUUGCAAACAGCCAAGUGGCCAACUUGCCUUUACUCCGGGUGUUUAAUCCCACCUUGAUCACAGGGAUGUAGUUGAGCCAUGUGUGGACUGGGCAGGGACAGGACAAAGGGCUUGACUUACCUUUGAUCACCGUGCAUAAAUCUGAAGAUUGAAUACAAGGAGCUAUGUCCUAGCAGAAUUGCUAAGACCGAAGUCAAAAGUUGAUUGCAAAAGGUUGAUUCAUUUUCACUUAAAUAUCAAUGAAGAAAAAGAAAAAAAAAUCAAACCUGGCACAGUGACUGAUUACAUGCCUGCAAUCCCAGCACUGGGAAAGUGGAAGCCGGAAGAUUAAAGAGUUCAGUGUCAUCUUUAGCUAUAGAGUGAGUUUGAGGCCAGCCUGAGCUACAUGAGACUGUCCAAGCAACUGAACAAUUCAGUCACUGUAGCCUCCUAGCCCAGUCUCUUCCAGGAAUGUCACUUAGUGGACACUGCUAUAACCUUUGUCUCCUGCUAAAGGAGUAGAGCCAGCAGCCAUGUUUUAUGUCAUGUGGUCCCAGUCUGAUUUCAUGGCUGAUUAAACCUGAUUCUAGGGCAGCCGGUCCCUACACUGCAUAAGUUUUUAUUGUCUCUGGCUGGGUCUAAAAGCACACUGGGUCCAGUGGUAGUUCUGUUAUUAUCGUGCCUGCUGUGCUCUCUACACACAUAUUUAGGACAUGCUGUACUAGACAAUUUUUUUCAUUUAUGUAUUGUGUGUAGGAAGGGUGGGUGUGUACGGGUAGGUGUGUAUGGGGGUGGUGUGUACGGGUGGUGUGUACGGGUGCUGUACCAUAGCAUGUGUAUGGGGGUCACAGGGCAGUUUCCAGGAGUCUGUCCUCUCUUCUUCCAUGUUGUGGUUCCAUGGAUCAGACUCAGGCUGGCAAGCUUGGCAGCAAGAGCCUUCACCCACUGAGCCAUCUUGUUGGCCCAUAAACUCAUUUUUAAGGUUUAUUGUUUUGUCUUAUAUUUUGGUGUUUUUCUCUUUCCUUUAUCUUUUUUUUCUAAAAAGAGGAAGAAGGCACAGGCAGAUGAAGAAGAUGAGGUGGAUGAGGAGGAAAGGGAACCAUCAGUCAUCGACGCUUACGGAGGUACCAGGAAAACAAAGAGAAAAGUGACAGCUGGUAGCCAAGCAGGAAGGGGCAGGACCUAUUAUAUUUCCAUGAUGCAAUCAGCGAAGCUCUACGCGUUUAAUUGAUUUGUUCUGUAAAACCACCUCUGAGUGGCUCUCACCUAGCUGAGGAUUAGCUUUCGACACUGAUUCUUCUGCAGUUAGCCAAUUAUGGUUUCUGCUGAUGGAUUUCUGAAAGGCGCUUGCAGAAGUUAUCUUUUCUGUUUGGGGAUUCAACACAGAGCCCUGAACAUUCUAGAUAAGUCCCUUUACCAUUGAGCUGUGACCUGUGCUCUCUGAGAGCUUCCAUUAUAUUAUCAUGCAUUCUUUUUCUUAAUAUGCUUAUGCCUGAGGUAGCUGGAAUGAGUGAUAGACACAGCCAAAAUAAAGUCAAGCUAUGUGCUGUCUAAUAGACUACAAAAGUGGAGCCAAAAUAAAGGGGACCGAGGAGCCCGAAGUGGAAGGAACAAAAAACGGUGAAGAUAUGGGGUGUAUAUCUGCACUCCAGUACUCAGGAGGUGGACGAGGGAGAUGAGGAGUUCAAAGUCAUCGUCACUACACGACAAGUUCAAGACCGGCCUGGGCUCUAAAGGAAUCAACUAUAACAACAACAACAACAACAAAAAGUUGAUUUUUGACAAGGCUCAUGAAAUUAUAAAUAAUGUUACUGAAAUCAGCUUAAGUUGAUUAAGGAAGAAAAAGGCAGACAUCCAGGCACGGUGGCUCACACCUUGAAUCCUAGCACUGGGAAGGCAGAGGCCGGGUAAAGACCCUUAACAACCGGGACCCUUAAAAGCUAAUGCCAGAGCAUUUCUCAAACUGUUAAUCAUAGGGAUUGUUGCCCAAUGACCCAGCAGCUCCACCACUACAGAGAUAUGUAUGUGCAAUAACUAGUGUUCCUGCGGCAUUAUUCAUAAUGGGCAAAAAUUGGAAAUAACUCAGACAUGCUGCUGAGUGUGCAUCCAGACAGUGGUAUGUAGACUUGAUUCCAUUUAUAGGAGAUGUCCAGAGAAGUCACAUACAUAGAGAUGCCUAGUGGCUGCCUCUGGGCAGAACCGGUAACAAGGAGAGACUGCUAAUAGGUCCUUAAUUUCUUUGGGAGUCUGAGUGGUGAGAUGAAAACAUUUUUCAAUUAGAUAGUAGUGAUGUACAAUUCUGAAUGUAUUGCCGGGCAGUGGUGGUGCACGCCUUUAAUCCCAGCACUCAGGAGGCAGAGGCAGGUGAAUCUCUGUGAGUUCGAGGCCAGGCUGGACCGACAGCCUCCAAAACAAUACAGAGAAACCCUGUCUCAUAAAAAUAAUUAAAAAAUUCUGAAUGUAUUAAAAAUCCAUAAGGGGUCCCAGAGGUUAAGAGCACUGACUUCUUUUCCCAAGGUCCUGAGUUUAAGUCCCAGCAACCACAUGGUGGCUCACAACCAUCCAUAAUGAGAUCUGGUGCCCUCUUCUGCAUGCAGGCAGAACACUGUAUACAUAAUAAAUAAAUAAAUAAAUCUUUUUUUAAAAAGCCAUUAGGUUGUACACUUGAAAAGGUGUGCAACCUUGGAAUUAUACAGGGACACAUCUCCCCAUCUCUUCACGGGCUUCCAAUAGGCUACUGCCCUCAGCUCUGAAAAAGCUGAUUCUGUUAUUACACACCUCUUAGAGGUGAUGGCUGUUAUGGGUAUACCUAAAACAAUAAAAACUGACAAUGCUCCAGCA